rnacentral:rRNA from 1 species
GACGAACGCUGGCGGCGUGGAUAAGACAUGCAAGUCGAACGGGACAGACCGAGUAGCAAUAUUUGGAUGUUCAGUGGCGAACGGGUGCGUAACACGUGGAUAACAUUCCGGAAAGCGGGGAAUAGCACAGGGAAACUUGGAUUAAUACCGCAUGUGGCCGCAAGGCUAAAGACGGGGACCGCAAGGCCUGUCACUUUCCGAUUGGUCCGCGGCCUAUCAGCUAGUUGGCGGGGUAAUGGCCCACCAAGGCUACGACGGGCAGCUGGUCUUAGAGGACGACCAGCCACACUGGAACUGAGACACGGUCCAGACACCUACGGGUGGCAGCAGUCGAGAAUCUUUCACAAUGGGGGCAACCCUGAUGGAGCGACGCCGCGUGGAGGAUAAGGUCUUCGGAUUGUAAACUCCUGUCAUGCGAGAACAAGGUACUCAGGCUAAUAACCUGAUUGUUUGAUGGUACCGCAAGAGGAAGAGACGGCUAACUCUGUGCCAGCAGCCGCCGUAAGAC